rnacentral:rRNA from 1 species
AUUGAACGCUGGCGGCAGGCUUAACACAUGCAAGUCGAACGAGUGGCGGACGGGUGGGUAAGGAAUGGGACUCUAGGUUAUGGAGAGGGAUAACUACGGGGAACUGUAGCUAAUAACGAGUACCAGAGGAUGGGCCAAAGUGGGAUGAGGGAGUGGGUGAGGUAAAGGCGGACCAAGACGACGAACUAUAGCUGGUCUGAGAGGAUGACCAGUCACAAGGGGACGGAGACACGGCCCAGACUCCGACGGGAGGCAGCAGUGGGGAAUAUGGCGAAAUGGGGGCAACCUGAUCCAGCCAUGCCGCGUGAAUGAAGAAGGCCUUCGGGUUGUAAAGUUCUUUAGUUAGCGAGGCGUUAACUACAGAAGAAGCACCGGCUAACUACGUGCCAGCAGCCGCGGUAAUUC